rnacentral:rRNA from 1 species
CCUACGGGAGGCAGCAGUGGGGAAUAUUGCACAAUGGGGGCAACCCUGAUGCAGCGACGCCGCGUGAGUGAAGAAGUAUUUCGGUAUGUAAAGCUCUAUCAUCAGGGAAGAAAAUAACAGUGCCUGCCCAAGAAGCCGCCGCGAACUACGUGCCAGCAGCCGCCGUAAUACGUAGUGGGCAAGCGUUAUCCGGAUUUACUGGUUGUAAAGGGAGCGUAGUCGGUUAUGUAAGUCUGAAGUGAAAACCCGGGGCCCAACCCCGGGACUGCUUUGGAAACUGUGUAACUGGAGUACAGGAGGGGCAGGCGGAAUUCCGGGUGUAGCGGUGAAAUGCGUAGAUAUAAGGAGGAACACCGGCGGCGAAGGCGGCCUGCUGGACUGAAACUGACGUUGAGGCUCGAAAGCGUGGGGAGCAAACAGGAUUAGAUACCCGAGUAGUC